rnacentral:RNase_P_RNA from 3 species
GGAGUCGGCCAGACAGUCGCGUCAUCGCAGCGGGUUCGCCCGCGACGGUGCCGAGGAAAGUCCGGGCUCCACAGGGCACGGUGCCAGGUAACGCCUGGGCGGCGCGAGCCGACGGAAAGUGCAACAGAGAGUAGACCGCCGAACGGUCCGGUGUUCGAAAGAAUGCCGGGCGCGUGGCAAGGGUGAAACGGUGCGGUAAGAGCGCACCGCGAGUCUGGCAACAGACCGGCACGGCAAACCCCACCGGGAGCAAGACCAAAUAGGGACCUCAUGGCGCUGCCCGCGUCGGGUCCGGGUAGGUUGCUUGAGCGUAUCGGUGACGAUGCGCCUAGAGGAAUGACUGUCCACGACAGAACCCGGCUUAUCGGCCGGCUCCGCCA